AUUGAACGCUGGCGGCAUGCCUUACACAUGCAAGUCGAACGGCAGCGGACCUUCGGGUGCCGGCGAGUGGCGAACAGGUGAGUAAAGUAUCGGAACGUACCUUUCAGUGGGGGAUAACGUCUCGAAAGGGACGCUAAUACCGCAUACGCCCUACGGGGGAAAGGGGGGGAUCUUCGGACCUCUCGCUAUCAGAUGAGCCCAUGUCAGAUUAGCUAGUUGGUAGGGUAAAGGCCUACCAAGGCGACGAUCUGUAACUGGUCUGAGAGGAUGAUCAGUCACACUGGAACUGAGACACGGUCCAGACUCCUACGGGAGGCAGCAGUGGGGAAUAUUGGACAAUGGGCGCAAGCCUGAUCCAGCCAUGCCGCGUGUGUGAGGAAGGCCCUAGGGUUGUAAAGCACUUUCAGUGGGGAGAAAGGUUAUUCACCUAAUACGUGAGUAAAUUGAUGCUACCCACAGAAGAAGCACCGGCUAACUCCGUGCCAGCCGCCGCCGUAACAC
rnacentral:rRNA from 1 species